rnacentral:miRNA from 1 species
CAUGUGGAAUUUUUAGUUGCU